AAUAGAUACCCCGGUAGUCCACGCCGUAAACGAUGAGUGCUAAGUGUUAGAGGGUUUCCGCCCUUUAGUGCUGCAGCUAACGCAUUAAGCACUCCGCCUGGGGAGUACGGUCGCAAGACUGAAACUCAAAGGAAUUGACGGGGGCCCGCACAAGCGGUGGAGCAUGUGGUUUAAUUCGAAGCAACGCGAAGAACCUUACCAGGUCUUGACAUCCUCUGACAACUCUAGAGAUAGAGUGUUCCCCUUCGGGGGACAGAGUGACAGGUGGUGCAUGGUUGUCGUCAGCUCGUGUCGUGAGAUGUUGGGUUAAGUCCCGCAACGAGCGCAACCCUUGAUCUUAGUUGCCAGCAUUUAGUUGGGCACUCUAAGGUGACUGCCGGUGACAAACCGGAGGAAGGUGGGGAUGACGUCAAAUCAUCAUGCCCCUUAUGACCUGGGCUACACACGUGCUACAAUGGAUGGUACAAAGAGCUGCAAACCCGCGAGGGUAAGCGAAUCUCAUAAAGCCAUUCUCAGUUCGGAUUGU
rnacentral:rRNA from 1 species